UCUAUCAUGGCCUGGACCCCUCUCCUCCUCUCUCUCAUUGCUCACUGCACAGGAUCCUGGGCCCAGGCUGUGCUGAGUCAGACACCCUCUGUCUCUGGGAAUCCAGGCCAGCAGGUCAGCAUCUCCUGUAUCGGAAGUAGCACCAACAUCGGGGCUGACUACUAUGUGCACUGGUACCAACAGCUCCCAGACACAGCUCCCAAACCCGUCAUCUAUGAUGAUAGCAAACGACCUUCAGGGAUUCCGGAUCGAUUCUCAGGUUCCAAGUCUGGCAACUCUGCCUCCCUGACCAUCGCUGGGCUGCAGCCUGAGGACGAGGCCAUUUAUUUCUGUCAGUCCUAUGAUAACAGUCUGAGUGGUAACACAGUGCUCCAGGUCAACAGGGAAGUGAGACAAAAAACCCAUUCUCAUCUGCCAGGAGGAGAAUGCACUGCAGCUAUUGCUCAGGACCAGCCUGGGCCUUUUGCUUAUUCUUGA